CUAUCAGUAGGGCGAAGUUCAU
rnacentral:miRNA from 1 species